rnacentral:misc_RNA from 1 species
AAGUCGUAACAAGGUUUCCGUAGGUGAACCUGCGGAAGGAUCAUUCACACCUCUUUUAUGUCGGAGAUGAAAUAUGCUCUGAUGUAAUUUCCAGCAAACAAAACAAAUAGCCUCCGUUCAAGUAUACCCCUGGUCGUUCACGCGGCUGGGAGGAUCAGUUGGUUGAGUGGGCUUGGGUGGCACUUUCGCCUUUGUCUCUCUUCCAAUGCAAAAUCAAUUGAUUUUUACCCCAAAACCCCCCCCCGUCGUCGGUUGUGGACCUCUCUCUGAAGUCUGCUUCUGAUUGUCAUUCUGUACCUAAGUCUGUUUCAUUUCAGUUGUCUAAGCACUGGCUUGAAGCAUGUUUGACAAGUUUACGUAACAUUAAACUGUAGAAAUACAACUCUUUGCAAUGGAUAUCUUGGUUCUC